CCAGACUCCUACGGGAGGCAGCAGUGGGGAAUCUUAGACAAUGGGCGCAAGCCUGAUCUAGCCAUGCCGCGUGAGUGAUGAAGGCCCUAGGGUCGUAAAGCUCUUUCGCCAGGGAUGAUAAUGACAGUACCUGGUAAAGAAACCCCGGCUAACUCCGUGCCAGCAGCCGCGGUAAUACGGAGGGGGUUAGCGUUGUUCGGAAUUACUGGGCGUAAAGCGUACGUAGGCGGAUCAGAAAGUAGGGGGUGAAAUCCCGAGGCUCAACCUCGGAACUGCCUCCUAAACUCCUGGUCUUGAGUUCGAGAGAGGUGAGUGGAAUUCCAAGUGUAGAGGUGAAAUUCGUAGAUAUUUGGAGGAACACCAGUGGCGAAGGCGGC
rnacentral:rRNA from 1 species